UCGAAUACGUGUCGUCGCGUGUUUCUCUCUCACUCUCGCUGUGACCCGGUGCUGCUGCGACUUCUCGUCUUUCUGCUGUUGAUCCUGUGCACGUACCCGUUCACCCACACAUACUUGGCUCGUCAUACAGACCCACACGCACGCGCACUCUUUUCCAUCUUUGCUGACCUUUGCACUCGCUUGUGCCUGUGUGUGUGUGUGUCGCUGUUUGCAAAAGGCGUAUUGGCGAGGAGGGGCUCAACAUACAUUCCGCCCGUCUGUUGCUGCAGCUGGCUGGUGUCCCCCUCGCUCCCUCGCGCCGUUGCGCUGCACUGCUUUCUUUGCCGUGCUUUGUGGACGGUACGCGCUCUCUGUCUUUUUUUUUCGCCGCUUCUUCUUUCGCUCAUUUCCGUCACAACUCUUUCCACCACCGCAGCUUCGGCGACUUGACGCGCACCGACGCGUUACUUCCUUUACCCCUUCCUCCUGUUACAGGAGCUCCUCGCCUCGUCGGCUUGUCUUUCGCACUUUUUACCAUCUUCCUUUAUCUCGCGCGAUGCACCGCGCCCUCUCGCUGUCCUGCCGCUCCAGCGUAGCUGCCACUGGUGCUGCGCCCUCGCACACGCUGCUCACGGGCGUACGAUGCUGCAGCACGGCCGCUGCCGCUGCUGCUGCGCCUGCGCCAGCCACACCCCUCACGAGCCCCGGCUCCAAGACACUCAUUCGGGACAUGCGCCCACGCGAGUUGAUGAAGGAGCUGGACCGCUACAUUGUGGGCCAGAGCGAGGCGAAGAAGGCUGUGUCGGUGGCGCUGCGCAAUCGCUGGCGCCGCCACCAGGUGCCGAGCGAUAUUCGCGAGGAAAUCGCGCCAAAGAACAUUCUUAUGAUUGGUCCAACCGGCGUGGGCAAGACGGAGAUUGCCCGUCGCCUCGCCAAGCUCGUAGAUGCUCCGUUCGUCAAGGUGGAGGCCACCAAGUUCACCGAGGUCGGCUUCCACGGCCGCGACGUGGAGAGCAUCAUCGAGGACCUCUAUAAGGCCUCUUUGUCGCAGACCAAGCAGAACAUCCGUCGCCAGCAUGAGGAAGAGGCGAAGUUGAAGGCGGAGGACCGCAUUCUUAAGUCUUUGGCCGGCGUGUCAGACGGCUUCCGGGAGCACCUGCGCAGUGGGGCAUUGGACGACAUCGAGGUCAUGGUGGAGCUUCAAGAGAAGAAAGAAAAACCCAAGACAGCGAGCGGCGAGGGCGUCUUCAUUUCUCUUGACAUCCCUUCCAUGAUGGGUGGGCAACGCCAGCAGACGGUGAAGAAGGUGAUGAAGAUCAAGGACGCUUUCCCGGCUGUGCUGCAGGAGGAGCUGGACAAGAUGAUGGACACCGAGGACGUCACGGCUGAGGCGCUGCGCGCCUGCGAGGAGGACGGCAUCGUUGUCAUUGACGAGAUCGACAAGAUCGUGACGGCAGCGGGCGGGUACAAGGGCCACCAGGCUUCCGCCGAGGGCGUCCAGCAGGAUCUGCUACCGUUGGUAGAGGGCACCACGGUGUCGACGAAGUUUAAUGUGCAGGUGAAGACGGACAAGAUCUUGUUUAUCUGCAGCGGCGCCUUCCACAGCGUUAAGCCGUCCGACAUGCUGGCGGAGCUGCAGGGCCGUCUGCCCAUCCGCGUCGAGCUCCAGCAGCUGAGCAAGGAAGAUUUUCACCGCAUCAUCACCGAGCCUCGUUUCAACCUUAUUGCGCAGCACAAGGCGAUGAUGGCUACAGAGGGCGUCGACCUCAUCUUUGAGGACGACGCGCUCUGGGAGAUUGCUAGCAUCGCCGCGUACAUCAACUCGACAGUGCAGAACAUCGGCGCCCGCCGCCUCAUCACAAUCACGGAGAAGGUUGUUGAGGAGAUCAGCUUCGAGGGACCGGAGCGAAAGAGCGAGAAGUUUGUCAUUGACGCCGCCUACGUCAAGAAGGCCGUGGACAAGAUGGUCAAGAAAGUGGACAUCAAGAAGUUCAUCUUGUGAGGUGGUGUGUGUCUGUGUGUGUGUGUGUGUUUGUGCGUGCGUGUGUGACGAGAGACGAGUGAGGGGAGAAGCAGGAAGGAUAACGGGACGGGUGAGCCACAGUGGUAUCGAAUGUGUUUCUUCACCUCCCUCUCUUGGUGUUUACUGCUCCCCCGCUGCGUCUCCCGCGGGGGCUCACACCCCCUCUUGCCCUCUUUCGUCUCGCCCGUUUUCACGUUUCUUUCCUCUUGAUAGAUUCUCCGACCCAGCGGUGGAUCGAGAUUGGCGAAUGCGUUUUGGCGUUGUAGCCGGCAGAUGCGUGUGCGUGUGCGCUCACGCCUUAGUUUUUGCCGCGUUGCAGCUCUUAUAAAAAAUGUGUGCCCAUGCUUGUGUGUGCUCCCGGGGCGGUGCAGUCUGUGGGCUUUAGCGCACGUGAGCAAUGCUAAGUGACGGCAGCUCUCAUCACCACUGCAGCUGGACGAUGCAGUGGUGGUGGGGGAGGAGACAGACUACACCGGCUCUGUAGAAGAGGUGGAGUAGCGCGGAGGUGGGGUGGGCUACUACACAGCACGCUUCACUGCCUUAGAGUGCAUCUCGUGUGUCGGCGACUGCGUUGGCUGGUCGGCCCAUGCGCACAACCUACUCCUCGCCGUUCGCUCUUUUCCACUGCUCUUCGCCAUCUCUUUCCCUUCCUCGUGCGCCGCUUGCUGUUCACUUCUCUUGUGUGAGGGCGUUGUGCUGUCGUGGCCUUGGCUCCUCUUCGCUAUUACUCAGCGAGGGGAGUUGGUCGAUUGCUUCAUGUAAGGUGGCUGCGUUGUGUUUGCUGUUGGGUUGUCGCGCGUGCGUGUGUUUGUUUACGCUGCGGAGGUGUCACAGUAGAGCAACAGUCUUUGUGUGCGUGUGUGGGCAGCGGCGCUCUGGCCGAGGGCGCCAAGUGAGGCGAGGAGCGAAUAUGGACGGCUGUCAUGCCCUCUCCCUCCUCCCCCGUUCUCUGCCCUUUCCCACACGGCGUUGUUCCACCGACACGCUUCUCUCAUAUUUGCUGUGGCUAAGAGAAGGCACACGAAUAAAUGAGAAACGGAACAGCAAGAGUGAAAUGAUCAGAGAGAGGGGACGCUCCCUUCCCUCCCUAUCCCCAGCGCCGUCUCUCUCUCCCAGCAAGUCGUGCGCGCGCCUGUAUGCCUACAGUAGCAGGUGACGUUUGUGUGUGGGGGAGGAGGGUGCGCGUGUAGCCGAUGUGCACAGCGGCCCUUCCGCUCCCUCUCUCAUGUACUCGGCGCCCACGCAUUGCGACGGCCCAGUCGGCUAUGCAGCACUGCUGCUGCUGCUGCUCGCCGUCUUCGCGUGUCGUUGCUCCUCCUUCUCCUCAGCAGCCAGAGCCCCUCACGUCACCGGGGCCGCAACAACGGUGCAUCCUACGGAUGCC
rnacentral:misc_RNA from 1 species